GGGGAGGGACAGUGCAGCGGCCGCCCAGCGCAGCGCUGAGCGCGGGAGAGAACCACACCAGACCAGACCAGGCAGCAGCAAGAAGAAGCUGGCAGCGGCGGCAGGUUAGGGGUCAGGGGGCGCAAAUUACUUGCCUUGCCCCAGGUUAGGGGGCGCAAAUUACUUGCCUUGCCCCAGGUUAGGGGGCGCAAAUUACUUGCCUUGCCCCAGGUUAGGGGGCACAAAUUACUUGCCUUGCCCCGGGUGCUGACAACCCACGCUACGCCGCUGG